GGGUUGUAAACCCCUGUCAGGUGGGACGAACCACGGAUCGGCUAAUACCCGGUCCGCCUGACGGUACCACCAGAGGAAGCUCCGGCUAACUCCGUGCCAGCAGCCGCGGUAAUACGGAGGGAGCAAGCGUUGUUCGGAAUCACUGGGCGUAAAGGGCGCGUAGGCGGUCGGGUAAGUCGGGUGUGAAAUUCCGGGGCUCAACCCCGCGAACUGC
rnacentral:rRNA from 1 species